CCGUUGUGCCCCGCAGGAUGGCGUCGGCGAGGAGGUGCUGAAGAUGUCUACGGAGGAGAUCGUGCAGCGCACCCGCCUGCUCGACAGCGAGAUCAAGAUUAUGAAGAGCAAAGU